rnacentral:rRNA from 1 species
UACGUAGGGUGCGAGCGUUACUCGGAAUUACUGGGCGUAAAGCGUGCGCAGGGGGUUUUGCAAGUCGGAUGGGAAAUCCCCGGGCUCAACCUGGGAAUGGCAUUCGGGACUGCAAGGCUGGAGUGCGGCAGAGGAGACUGGAAUUCCUGGUGUAGCAGUGAAAUGCGUAGAUAUCAGGAGGAAUACCGAUGGCGAAGGCAGGUCUCUGGGCUGACACUGACGCUCAUGCACGAAAGCGUGGGGAGCAAACAGG